GGACAGAAAAAAGGGAAAUAUUGAUUGUGUGACAUUUUCCCAGAAAGUACAUCUUCAGAAUGAUCUGUACAUAUGUUUUUUCCUUUAAACUCAGGUCAAAGAAAUGAGGAAGUUAAAUGCUGUGGAAAGUCUAUUGUUAACUCCAGCCAAAAUAAGUGGAUAAUAUUUUUAGUUUUACUGCUCUGGGAUAUUUAAGGAAGAUAAAUAGGUUUUAUAAUGAGACUACAGUGCACAGAAUGUUUGGCUAUUAUAAACUGGACUUCUGGAGAAGCCGUGAGCAAUGAUUUAGGAAGGUCAUAAAAUGGGAAAGCAAAAAACAAAAACAAAAACACUGGUAAGUCAGCAUCCAAGAAAUGAUUCAGGCCUGCGUCACGACGGUUUAGUUAUCUAGGACUGCACAGCAAAGUGCCCCAACAUGAUGGCCUACCACAGCAACCGCGGUGCUGAGGGUCGGGAACUGGGGACGGCCCGACCGGGGCUGCCCGUCUAAGACGCGUGGUUCCCCCACUGCCUGCUCCUGUCCCCUGCGGUUCUCUACAGCACCUGUCUGCAGCGCCGUGGACCGCCGUGAGCUUCUUCCACUAGUGAAGGGACGGCACCACGCCCCCGCAUGACGUCAUCACGCCCCCACGCACGACGUCAUCACGCCCCCACGCAUGACGUCAUCACGCCCCCCGCGCAUGACGUCAUCACGCCCCGCAUGACGUCAUCACGCCCGACGGCGCUGCCUGGAAGUCUAUCAGGGAAUAAACUCCCUCACCAAAAAGCAAGACCCAGCCCCACCCACUUGGAGAAAACGACACACUGCUAAUAAAGUGGACUCGGAACAAGCAUGAGAAAUCAUGACAUGAGGACGAGGAAUGAAUGGUGCUGAAGGAAGUGGUGAACAACUGUGUAGCAGUGUUUCUGGGACAUACCCCUCGCACUCCAGGACCUUUCCCAUAGGCCACACGGUAACAUCUAAUUAAGAUGUUAGCUCCUCUCUCCUCCCUGUGUCCAUUCUUAUCAAUUCUUCCCAAAGUCUCCCAUUUCCUGCAAGGUCGACAGAAGUAAUGCGGGCCACGGAGAUGCAGAGAGCAUUUUAGGAAUGUGAGGGAGGAGAAUGCAGUGAAGGAAGAAAGACCUUAGCAGCGUUGUCUCUAACAUGCUUUAAAAACAGGGAAUCUGGGCAGAGGAACGUGGGGGCUGGGGGACACUUGGAGGCCAACUGGGCACAGAGAGACCCUGGGGGGUGAGGCAGGAGCGCCCGCAGGGGGUGCAGGGUGCCCAAGGCAGCCGGUCUGAAUUCCCAAGCGCAGAAUUCUCAACCACCCAGGAGUCUUCCAAUUCUCAAAAACCUCCCAGAACAAAUCAGAUCGAAUUCACUGGAGUUAGAAACAUGUUUGCGGUCAUGGCCUGACUAGGAAUCUGAGGCUGGGGUUACUAUUGCAGAGCUCCCCGAAAUCUCAGCACCCUCCGAGCAGCAGUGGGGAAGGGGGGGGCAUGUCUAGGAGGCGGGGGGGCCCUCGGGGAGUCAUUUUCUCCAUUUAGCUGGGUAUGGGCUCUGAGCACAGCUCGGAGUCUUCUGAGAGCCCGGUCCCUGAUCUCCACCUUCUGCAGAGUUGAACCCAGGUGGCUUUAUGGAGCCCCCGAGGGCCCUGCAAACACUCAGCAAAUGGCCUCUUGUUGAAUUUAGUAAGGCCUUCGAGUACUGAAGAGAAGACCUCUGGCCUCAACUUCGGGCUUCACGUUGGGGUCUCCACCAGGCAGGGAAGGGAUUGCACAACUCUAGCAGCAAACGGGCCGGCACUCAGCGUCUGCCAGGUGCAUCCUGUUCCCCAAGCAUAUUCCACUCCAUCCUCACAGCAAUGCCACGAGGUGGGUGCUCAUGUUUCAUGGGCGAGAAACCGAGGCUCAGAUGGCUGACAGGACUGGCCCGCCGCUGUGGGGCUGACUCACGGGGAGCUGGGAUUCGGCCGGACCGUCUGACCCCAGACCUGAGUCCUCAAGGAACCGCUCUGCUGACCUGGGCCCUAUGGAAGGGGGGCGGGGCAGAUGCUUGUUGAGUAACUCUGCUCUACCCCAACUGAUGGUUCUGGAUUGUUUAAGAACAAUCCACGUUUCAAGCAAAUUGUUAUUCCUUGUAACGUGGCCAAGUUUGACAAUGAUUCCUUAAUUUUAAAAAACAUGUAAGUUAGCACAGAUUCCAGACUUUGUCUCUAAUGUUGCGACUCUUACUCCGAAACAUUUUUAGGAGAGAGAAAGAUGGAAGGAGGAGAAGCAGCUGGUGGGCCUGAAGUUAUACCUACAGGAUCGUCUUGUGGGUUUUGCCAGAAAAAGUAUGGGAAAUCUGUGCCAGGAAGUGUCUGGGUUCCACCUUCUUUCUUUCAGCCUACCCUCCUGGUGGGGGGCUGGGGGCGGGGGCGCAGUGUUAUCGUAAAGAUAAGAAAACUAGGCUCAGGCAGAUACGGGACUAGUGUUGCGGGUAGAACUGUGUCAUUCAAAAAGAUAAGUUCAAGUCCUGACCCCUGGUACCUGUGAAUGUGACUUUCCUUGGGCCUAGAGUUUUUGCAAAUAUAAUCAAAUUAAGAGGAGGUCAUGAGGGUGGGCCUAAUCCAAUCACGUGUGUCUUUAUAAGAAUAGGGGAAAUUGGACACGUCAGGAGAGCCCCAUAUGAUGAGGCACAGACUGGAGGGAUGUGCCUACAAAAAUUCUUUGCAACCAGGGAAGCCAAGAGGCAAGAAAAGAUCUUGCUCUAGAUCCUUCUGAGCGAGCAUAGCCCUCUGAUACCUCAAUUUUGGACUUCUAGCCACCAGAACUGAGAGAAAAUAAACUCUUGUUUUGGCCACCCGGUUUGUAGAAACUUGUCAUGGCAGCCACGGGAAAUGGAUACACCAAGUUUUCACCUUGCUUCUGCUGUGUCCUUGAGCAAUUCCGUGUUAGGUUUGCGGGGGAUGCUGAAGAGGGCUGGGCUGCUGCCUGCAUCCAGCUGGAGCCAAAUGCUGCAUGGUCUUGAGAACCAGAGGAGGGACUGAAGUUUGGGGCCGCACAUAGUGGGGAGCUUGCAAAGCAUAAGCGCUGGCAGAAGCACAAGAGCGAGAUGAGAGUGUUCAGAAUAUUUGUGCUUCAUCAAGGGAUCAAUGAGGGUGAAGGAACGGCCUUUCCCUGUUACACCAGCCGUGCUCCCCG